GCCCUCGUAGCUCAACGGAUAGAGUAGCGCACUCCUAACGCGCAGAUCGAGGUCCGAUUCCUCGCGGGGGCA
rnacentral:tRNA from 1 species